CUGAGAGGCCUAUGAGAAUGUCAAAAUCAUAGCAGAAUUAUGUUUAAUGCGCCCUUGCUGAUAAUAACGAAUUGCCAACCAAUUUGUCCCACUGAUUUAACUUCUGAGACACAUGUUAGUCAGAGUAGGUAUCAUGAAAAUGGCCAACGAGGGAUCUUCUUUGUCACAUUUGGAAGAUCGUUACUGCAUCUUUUGAUUGGUCCAACUUCUCAUUUUUGUAAUUGCGACUAGAGAUCAACUUUAUUAGACUUUUGCAUGUAAUGGUGUCCUAGUAUUGGGACCCUUCACCUAAUAUCAUGCAUCUAUUUGACUGUUCAUGGAGACCUUGUCACUUCCAUGAUUGUGGAUAGUCAGAAGUGGCUAACCACAUGAGAGGGCAUUUUCAAGAUUGUUUUGAUGACCCUACACUUUAAUUAAGUCUGUACUAUUUCCAUUUCUACUCCUUCACUUUGGAGACCAAUGCUAUUGGAGUCCCAUAUAUUCUUCUGUGUCUGCAGCACACCAUGUUUUUUGGUAUGGCAUGUUUACACCUGAUUCCUUGAGCCGAGGGUCUAUCAGAAACAAACUCUCUACCUAUGAGGUAAGGAUAUAAAAAGGACAAUCUGUUGGACAAAGCAUUUUACAUUCAUGGUCCGGAGAAGGGCCGUACCUCUAUGGGUUUGAUGCAGAUGCUUCCAGGGCUCGAAUUCAUAACUUGUCUACUUGUUGGCCAUUGUGUGUAAAUGGAAACAUGCAUGCAUUAUGCAUACAUAUAAAAUCUAUAUGACUCAGCUUAAAUGUUUUUUAUUCUUUUUUGGCGUGAAGUCAAACACUCGAAAUCCUUUUUAUGAUUAUUAAGAGCCUUGAUUAUUCACGUAAUUAAGAUUGCAUCAAAGUUAUAUUACUGUAUAAUUCACUCCAAACAAAAAAAAGGGCAGUUAGUCAUGAAUUUUGUCGUUAAUUUGUAGCUGAAUUGUUCGUAACUA